rnacentral:rRNA from 1 species
GACGAACGCUGGCGGCGUGCUUAACACAUGCAAGUCGAACGGAAAGGCCCUGCUUUUGUGGGUUGCUCGAGUGGCGCACGGGUGAGUAACACGUGAGUAACCUGCCCUUGACUUUCGGGUAACUUCAGGGAACUGCGGCUCAUACCGGAUAGGAGCUCCUGCUGCAUGGUGUGGGUUGGUAAGUUUCGGCGGUUGGGGAUGGACUCGCGGCUUCUCAGCUUGUUGGUGGGGUAGUGGCUUACCAAGGCUUUGACGGCUAGCCGGCCUGAGAGGGUGACCGGCCACAUUGGGACUGAGAGACGGACCAGACGCCAACGUGAGGCAGCAGGGGGGAAUAUGGCAGAAUGGGCGGAAGCCUGAGGCAGCAACGCCGCGUGCGGGAUGACGUCCUUCGGGGGGUAAACAGCUGUCGCCGGUGACGAAGCGUGAGUGACGGUAAUGGGUAAAGAAGCACCGGCUAACUACGUG